rnacentral:rRNA from 1 species
UGGGGAAUAUUGGACAAUGGGCGAAAGCCUGAUCCAGCCAUGCCGCGUGUGUGAAGAAGGUCUUCGGCUUGUAAAGCACUUUAAGUUGGGAGGAAGGGCUGUCGGCUAAUACCCUGCAGUUUUGACGUUACCAACAGAAUAAGCACCGGCUAACUUCGUGCCAGCAGCCGCGGUAAUACGAAGGGUGCAAGCGUUAAUCGGAAUUACUGGGCGUAAAGCGCGCGCAGGUGGUUCAGCAAGUUGGAUGUGAAAUCCCCGGGCUCAACCAGGGAACUGCAGCGAAAACUACUGAGCGAGAGUAGGGUAGAGGAGGGUGGAAUUUCCUGUGUAGCGGUGGAAUGCGUAGAUAUAGGAAGGAACACCAGUAGCGAAGGCGACCACCGGGACUGAUACUGACGCUGAGGUGCGAAAGCGGGGGGAGCAAACAG